rnacentral:tRNA from 1 species
UGGUCCGUAGCUCAGCUGGAUAGAGCGUUGCCCUCCGAAGGCAAAGGUCGUACGUUCGAAUCGUAUCGGGUCCGCCA